UAGGAUCUUCCACAUGGACGCAGUCUGAUGGAGCAACGCCGCGUGAGUGAAGAAGGUUUUCGGAUCGUAAAGCUCUGUUGUUGGUGAAGAAAGAUAGUGAGAGUAACUGCUCAUUAUUUGCCGGUAAUCAACCAGAAAGUCACGGCUAACUACGUGCCAGCAGCCGCGGUAAUA
rnacentral:rRNA from 1 species